rnacentral:rRNA from 1 species
UACGUAGGGGGCUAGCGUUGUCCGGAUUUAUUGGGCGUAAAGAGCGUGUAGGCGGCCAGGUAGGUCCGGUGUGAAAACUCGAGGCUUAACCUCGAGAUGUCAUCGGAAACCAUCUGGCUAGAGUCCGGAAGAGGAGAGUGGAAUUCCUGGUGUAGCGGUGAAAUGCGCAGAUAUCAGGAAGAACACCAAUGGCGAAAGCAGCUCUCUGGGACGGUACUGACGCUGAGACGCGAAAGCGUGGGGAGCAAACAGG